rnacentral:rRNA from 1 species
AUUGAACGCUGGCGGCAUGCUUUACACAUGCAAGUCGAACGGCAGUGCGGGCUUCGGCCUGGCGGCGAGUGGCGAACGGGUGAGUAAUGCAUCGGAACGUGCCCAGUAGUGGGGGAUAGCCCGGCGAAAGCCGGAUUAAUACCGCAUACGACCUGAGGGUGAAAGCGGGGGACCGAAAGGCCUCGCGCUAUUGGAGCGGCCGAUGUCGGAUUAGCUAGUUGGUGGGGUAAAGGCUUACCAAGGUGACGAUCCGUAGCUGGUCUGAGAGGACGACCAGCCACACUGGGACUGAGACACGGCCCAGACUCCUACGGGAGGCAGCAGUGGGGAAUUUUGGACAAUGGGGGCAACCCUGAUCCAGCCAUGCCGCGUGCGGGAAGAAGGCCUUCGGGUUGUAAACCGCUUUUGUUCGGGAAGAAAUCCUCUGGGCUAAUACCCCGGGGGGAUGACGGUACCGGAAGAAUAAGCACCGGCUAACUACGUG